rnacentral:rRNA from 1 species
AAACAGGUUAAUAUUCCUGUACUUGGUGUUACUGCGAAGGGGGGACGGAGAAGGCUAUGUUAGCCGGGCGACGGUUGUCCCGGUUUAAGCAUGUAGGCUGGUUGUCCAGGCAAAUCCGGAUAAUCAAGGCUGAGGUGUGAUGACGAGGCACUACGGUGCUGAAGUAACAAAUGCCCUGCUUCCAGGAAAAGCCUCUAAGCAUCAGGU